rnacentral:tRNA from 1 species
GGCAGGAUGGUCCAGUGGUUAGGGCACUAGGCUAGGACUUGAGACGUGGGUUCAAUUCCCUGCUCUGCUA